rnacentral:rRNA from 1 species
UACGUAGGGUGCAAGCGUUGUCCGGAAUUAUUGGGCGUAAAGGGCUCGUAGGCGGUUUUGUCGCGUCGGGAGUGAAAACUCAGGGCUUAACCCUGAGCCUGCUUCCGAUACGGGCAGACUAGAGGUAUGCAGGGGAGAAUGGAAUUCCUGGUGUAGCGGUGAAAUGCGCAGAUAUCAGGAGGAACACCGGUGGCGAAGGCGGUUCUCUGGGCAUUACCUGACGCUGAGGAGCGAAAGUGUGGGGAGCGAACAGG